rnacentral:rRNA from 1 species
AUUGAACGCUGGCGGCAGGCCUAACACAUGCAAGUCGAACGGAACGGCGGACGGGUGAGUGAUGAAUAGGAAGCUGACUGGUAGUGGGGGAUGAAGACCGGAAACGGGCGCUAAUAAAGAAUACUAUCAAUCGCACCUAGAUGGGAUUAACUAGUUGGUGGGGUAAAGGACUACCGAGGCGACGAUCCGUAACUGGUGGGAGAGGAUGAUCAGUCACACUGGAACUGUGACACGGUCCAGACUCCUACGGGAGGCAGCAGUGGGGAAUAUUGGACAAUGGGCGAAAGCCUGAUCCAGCCAUGCCGCGUGUGUGAAGAAGGUCUUCGGAUUGUAAAGCACUUUAAGUUGGGAGGCGUUACCAGCAGAAUAAGCACCGGCUAACUUCGUGCCAGCCGCCGCGGUAAUAC